rnacentral:misc_RNA from 1 species
GAUGAAGAACGCAGCGAAAUGCGAUAAGUAAUGUGAAUUGCAGAAUCCAGUGAAUCAUCGAAUCUUUGAACGCACAUUGCGCCCGCCAGCAUUCUGGCGGGCAUGCCUGUUCGAGCGUCAUUUCAACCCUCGACCUCCCCUUGGGGAGGUCGGCGUUGGGGACCGGCAGCACACCGCCGGCCCUGAAAUGGAGUGGCGGCCCGUCUGUGGCGACCUCUGCGUAGUAAUACAGCUCGCACCGGAACCCCGACGCGGCCACGCCGUAAAACACCCAACUUCUGAACGUUGACCUCGAAUCAGGUAGGACUACCCGCUGAACUUAAGCAUAUCAAUAAGCGGAGGA